AGUUUGAUCAUGGCUCAGAUUGAACGCUGGCGGCAGGCCUAACACAUGCAAGUCGAGCGGUAGAGAGAAGCUUGCUUCUCUUGAGAGCGGCGGACGGGUGAGUAAUGCCUAGGAAUCUGCCUGGUAGUGGGGGAUAACGUCCGGAAACGGACGCUAAUACCGCAUACGUCCUACGGGAGAAAGCAGGGGACCUUCGGGCCUUGCGCUAUCAGAUGAGCCUAGGUCGGAUUAGCUAGUUGGUGGAGUAAUGGCUCACCAAGGCGACGAUCCGUAACUGGUCUGAGAGGAUGAUCAGUCACACUGGAACUGAGACACGGUCCAGACUCCUACGGGAGGCAGCAGUGGGGAAUAUUGGACAAUGGGCGAAAGCCUGAUCCAGCCAUGCCGCGUGUGUGAAGAAGGUCUUCGGAUUGUAAAGCACUUUAAGUUGGGAGGAAGGGCAGUAAAUUAAUACUUUGCUGUUUUGACGUUACCGACAGAAUAAGCACCGGCUAACUCUGUGCCAGCAGCCGCGGUAAUACAGAGGGUGCAAGCGUUAAUCGGAAUUACUGGGCGUAAAGCGCGCGUAGGUGGUUCGUUAAGUUGGAUGUGAAAUCCCCGGGCUCAACCUGGGAACUGCAUUCAAAACUGACGAGCUAGAGUAUGGUAGAGGGUGGUGGAAUUUCCUGUGUAGCGGUGAAAUGCGUAGAUAUAGGAAGGAACACCAGUGGCGAAGGCGACCACCUGGACUGAUACUGACACUGAGGUGCGAAAGCGUGGGGAGCAAACAGGAUUAGAUACCCUGGUAGUCCACGCCGUAAACGAUGUCAACUAGCCGUUGGGAGCCUUGAGCUCUUAGUGGCGCAGCUAACGCAUUAAGUUGACCGCCUGGGGAGUACGGCCGCAAGGUUAAAACUCAAAUGAAUUGACGGGGGCCCGCA
rnacentral:rRNA from 1 species